rnacentral:rRNA from 1 species
CCCGCGUGCGGGAUGAAGGCCUUCGGGUUGUAAACCGCUUUCAGUAGGGAAGAAGCGAAAGUGACGGUACCUACAAAAGAAGCACCGGCUAACUAUGUGCCAGCAGCCGCGGUAAUACAUAGGGUGCAAGCGUUGUCCGGAAUUAUUGGGCGUAAAGAGCUCGUAGGUCGUUUGUUACGUCGGAUGUGAAAACCUGAGGCUCAACCUCAGGCCUGCAUUCGAUACGGGCAAACUAGAGUUUGGUAGGGGAGACUGGAAUUCCUGGUGUAGCGGUGGAAUGCGCAGAUAUCAGGAGGAACACCAAUGGCGAAGGCAGGUCUCUGGGCCAAUACUGACACUGAGGAGCGAAAGUCUGGGGAGCGAACAGGAUUAGAUACCCUGGUAGUCCAGACCGUAAACGGUGGGCACUAGUUGUGGGAACCUUCCACGGUUUCUGCGACGCAGCUAACGCAUUAAGUGCCCCGCCUGGGGAGUACGAUCGCAAGAUUAAAACUCAAAGGAAUUGACGGGGCCCCGCACAAGCAGCGGAGCAUGCGGCUCAAUUCGACGCAACGCGAAGGAACUUUCCAAGGGUUGACAUUUUGGGGAAAUUGACGAGAUUUCUGUCCGCAGGG